GAAGAAGCAGACGAAGAAGAAGAAAAAGACGACAGGGGCGGGGGUGCUGAAACAUGGAGGGACGUGAGUCAACCUUAUGUGGGGAGCUGAAAUAUAGGGAUGGAUUAAAAAAGAAAAUUAACGUAGAUAUCGAAAAGAACCUAACGUCAAUGUUAGUGGGAAUCAAAAAAUUUAAUGACGAUGUGUCAGGGCUUCUAACUGAACUUGUUGAACAAGAAAAACCUUUUGGAAAUGACGAAGGAGGAGAGUGCGUGUCCGACGACGAUGAAGAGGACAGUGAUGAAGCGAGAGAGGAAACGGAAGCCAAAUCACAUACCCUUGUUUCAGAGCCUCCAUCAAAAAAGUCUAAAACCCGGAGGUGACGAUUGUAGGUGGAAGCAGCGGUGUCUGGUAUCAAAGCAAGGAUGUUGUCUCCUGAUCAUGGCGAACACCUCCAUGACACAUCUUGUUAAAUGUUUUUAUGAUUAAAACGCAUCUUAAGAACAUCA